AUUGAACGCUGGCGGCAGGCCUAACACAUGCAAGUCGAGCGGCAGCGGGGAAGUAGCUUGCUACUUUUGCCGGCGAGCGGCGGACGGGUGAGUAAUGCCUGGGAAAUUGCCCAGUCGAGGGGGAUAACAGUUGGAAACGACUGCUAAUACCGCAUAUGCCCUACGGGGGAAAGCAGGGGACCUUCGGGCCUUGCGCGAUUGGAUAUGCCCAGGUGGGAUUAGCUAGUUGGUGAGGUAAUGGCUCACCAAGGCGACGAUCCCUAGCUGGUCUGAGAGGAUGAUCAGCCACACUGGAACUGAGACACGGUCCAGACUCCUACGGGAGGCAGCAGUGGGGAAUAUUGCACAAUGGGGGAAACCCUGAUGCAGCCAUGCCGCGUGUGUGAAGAAGGCCUUCGGGUUGUAAAGCACUUUCAGCGAGGAGGAAAGGUCAGUAGCUAAUAUCUGCUGACUGUGACGUUACUCCCAGAAGAAGCACCGGCUAACUCCGUGCCAGCAGCCGCAGUAAAAC
rnacentral:rRNA from 1 species